GACGAACGCUGGCGGCGUGCCUAAUACAUGCAAGUCGUGCGGACUUUGCGGGAGCUUGCUCCCAAGAAGUUAGCGGCGGACGGGUGAGUAACACGUGGGCAACCUGCCUGACAGACUGGGAUAACAUCCGGAAACGGAUGCUAAUACCGGAUAGCAAGCGAAGAGGCAUCCCUUCGCUGAGAAAGGCGCUACGGCGUCACUGUCGGAUGGGCCCGCGGCGCAUUAGCUAGUUGGUGAGGUAACGGCUCACCAAGGCGACGAUGCGUAGCCGACCUGAGAGGGUGACCGGCCACACUGGGACUGAGACACGGCCCAGACUCCUACGGGAGGCAGCAGUAGGGAAUCUUCCACAAUGGGCGAAAGCCUGAUGGAGCAACGCCGCGUGUGUGAAGAAGGUCUUCGGAUUGUAAAGCACUUUAAGUUGGGAGGAAGGGCAGUAAGUUAAUACCUUGCUGUUUUGACGUUACCAACAGAAUAAGCACCGGCUAACUUCGUGCCAGCAGCCGCCGUAAAAC
rnacentral:rRNA from 1 species